UACAAAGAUAAACGUGAUGAGACGUUCUCAGGAUCCUGAUAUGUUUGGGUUAUUGUAGUCUCAGUUCAGCUCAGAGCUUUUUGACAUGAAGCUUCAGCGCUGUGCUAAUUACGAAGCGUACUUCGGUGCAGGAACUAAACUGACUGUUCUCGAAGAAGGACUUAAGGUCACUCCACCGACAGUCAGAGUUCUCCCAGCUUCUCCAAAGGAGUGUGGACACCAGAGUAAGACCAUCGUUUGUGUGGCCAGUGGAUUCUACCCGGAUCAUGUCAGCUUCUCCUGGACCGACAAAGAGGGCGAGGUCAGCUCAGGUGUGGCGACGGACAGCGAGGCCGUGCUGGAAGGAAAGAACUACAGGAUGAGCAGCAGGCUGAGGGUCUCUGCUGAAGAGUGGAACAAUCCUGACAAUGAAUUCACCUGCACCGUCCACUUCUUUGACGGGAAACAAAAGCUCCCUUACUCUGCUUCAAUUAAAGGAAUAAAAGCUGAAAGAAAAACCAUCACCAGAGACAAAUAUCUGAAGGUCACGCAGAGCGCCAAACUGAUGUACAGCGUGUUCAUCGUGAAGAGCUGUUUCUACGGAGCGUUUGUAGCUUUUCUGCUGCUCAAGUUUCAGGGGGCGAAGCAGAAGAACUGAGAGCAGAGCCGACGCCUCACAAGAGGAUUCUGGGAAAUCUGCUCAGUGUUCAUGUCUGUGUAUAAAGUUAGCAAACCUUUAAUCUUCAAGCUACUUUUAAAAUGAUUGUUCUUCGGGGCGCCAUAUAGCCUAGCGGUCAUGUUGCACGCCCCAUGUACGGAGGUUGUGUCCUCGUCGCAGCGAGCGGCCGUGGGUUUGAAUCCGACCUCUGACCUCCUCUCUCUUCAGCUGUUCUUUCUCAUAAAGGCAAAAAGACCCCAAAAAAAUAUCAAAAAGAUCGUCCUUCACAGACGCUUCACUCUGAACGUCAUCAAAGAAAAUCCCAACGAUACCUUUAAAAACAGACGUGAAGAACGAGCUACGAUCAGACCAGAGCUGCACACAUGAUCCGUCUUAUUACACUUAAGAGUUACAAAGAUGUGUCGUGUUUUAUUGUUUCUUUCUUUCUGUCCUUCUGUCACUCAAAGCGUCACGUUCUUAUUUCUUUCUGCUCUGUACGAGAAUUAUAUUCAAAUGUGUCAUCUUUAAUAAAAACUUUGACUUUA